GGAGGAAAGCAGGGGAUCGCAAGACCUCAUGCUCGUGGAGCGGCCGAUAUCUGAUUAGCUAGUUGGUAGGGUAAAAGCCUACCAAGGCAUCGAUCAGUAGCUGGUCUGAGAGGACGACCAGCCACACUGGAACUGAGACACGGUCCAGACUCCUACGGGAGGCAGCAGUGGGGAAUUUUGGACAAUGGGCGAAAGCCUGAUCCAGCAAUGCCGCGUGAGUGAAGAAGGCCUUCGGGUUGUAAAGCUCUUUUGUCAGGGAAGAAACGGUGAGAGCUAAUAUCUCUUGCUAAUGACGGUACCUGAAGAAUAAGCACCGGCUAACUACGUGCCAGCAGCCGCGGUAAUACGUAGGGUGCAAGCGUUAAUCGGAAUUACUGGGCGUAAAGCGUGCGCAGGCGGUUUUGUAAGUCUGAUGUGAAAUCCCCGGGCUCAACCUGGGAAUUGCGUUUGAAACUACAAGGCUAG
rnacentral:rRNA from 1 species